rnacentral:rRNA from 1 species
UGGGGAAUAUUGGACAAUGGGCGCAAGCCUGAUCCAGCCAUGCCGCGUGAGUGAUGAAGGCCCUAGGGUUGUAAAGCUCUUUUGUGCGGGAAGAUAAUGACUGUACCGCAAGAAUAAGCCCCGGCUAACUUCGUGCCAGCAGCCGCGGUAAUACGAAGGGGGCUAGCGUUGCUCGGAAUCACUGGGCGUAAAGGGUGCGUAGGCGGGUCUUUAAGUCAGGGGUGAAAUCCUGGAGCUCAACUCCGGAACUGCCUUUGAUACUGAGGAUCUUGAGUUCGGGAGAGGUGAGUGGAACUGCGAGUGUAGAGGUGAAAUUCGUAGAUAUUCGCAAGAACACCAGUGGCGAAGGCGGCUCACUGGCCCGAUACUGACGCUGAGGCACGAAAGCGUGGGGAGCAAACA